ACUGCGAGUGAAGCGGGAAAAGCUCAAAUUUAAAAUCUGAGGGUCUUUAUGGCCUUCCGAGUUGUAAUCUAGAGAAGUGCUAUCCGCGCUGGACCGUGUACAAGUCUCCUGGAACGGAGCGUCAUAGAGGGUGAGAAUCCCGUCUUUGACACGGACUACCAGGGCUUAUGUGAUGCGCUCUCAAAGAGUCGAGUUGUUUGGGAAUGCAGCUCUAAAUGGGUGGUAAAUUCCAUCUAAAGCUAAAUAUUGGCGAGAGACCGAUAGCGAACAAGUACCGUGAGGGAAAGAUGAAAAGAACUUUGGAAAGAGAGUUAAACAGUACGUGAAAUUGUUGAAAGGGAAACGCUUGAAGUCAGUCGCAUUGGCCAGGGAUCAACCUUGCUUUUGCUUGGUGUAUUUUCUGGUUAAUGGGUCAGCAUCAAUUUUGAUCGGUGGAAAAAGAUCAAGGGAAUGUGGCAUCUUCGGAUGUGUUAUAGCCUUUGGUUGUAUACAUCGGUUGGGAUUGAGGAACUCAGCACGCCGCAAGGCCGGGUUUUUAACCACGUACGUGCUUAGGAUGCUGGCAUAAUGGCUUUAAUCGACCCGUCUUGAAACACGGACCAAGGAGUCUAACAUGCACGCGAGUGUUUGGGUGGAAAACCCGAGCGCGUAAUGAAAGUGAAAAUUGAGAUCCCUGUCGUGGGGAGCAUCGAUGCCCGGACCAGACCUUUUGUGACGGUUCCGCGGUUGAGCGUGUAUGCUGGGACCCGAAAGAUGGUGAACUAUGCCUGAAUAGGGUGAAGCCAGAGGAAACUCUGGUGGAGGCUCGUAGCGAUUCUGACGUGCAAAUCGAUCGUCAAAUUUGGGUAUAGGGGCGAAAG
rnacentral:rRNA from 1 species